GGCAAACAGUGAUAUAGAAUGUCAGGUUGUAUCUGCCAUCUGCCUCAUCCUAAACCAGAAAAAGGAAAAGAGGUUUCAUGCACAAAUAUACUGUCUCCCCCCAGAUAUUGUGAGCAUGGCACUUUCUGAUCAC